ensembl:lncRNA
CAAAAACAUCUCCCAGGUCUCCUGCCUAUGUUAACUUAUUAAAGACCUUAGAAUUCUGAGAAGACAUUUGGUUCUUAGUUUUCUACGAGGAAGACAACAGAAAAAAAGCAACAAAUCAACCUUACUCUUCCCUUGCCUCUCCCAAUUUCCCAUCAUAUAGGGAGAAAUUUUAAUAAUUGUUUUAAAAAACAAAAAUUAUAGGUAACUUUGAGCAAUGUUAAGACCAAAUACUUUUUAAAAUUCAAUUUUAUUUUUUGAAACAAAAAUUUAAAAUUUCUCUUCAACUCCUUCUCUCUGUUUGUUUUAACUGCUCACCCCAAACCAAGAAAGCAAAAGUAAAAGAAAUAAACAAAACCAAAAAAAAAAAAACAAAACCCUGUUACAAACAUGUAUAGUCAAGCAAAACAAAUUCCUACAUUGGCUUGUCUACAAAAAAUUUCUUAAGGUGUACUUGAGUCCACCUAGGAGUUGGGAAGUGUUUCAUUAUUAGUUUUUUGCGAUUAUAAUUAUUCAUUAUUGGAUUAAAAAAAAAAUCUUGUCCAUAUGUUACUUCUCAAAAUCAAGCCUUGUUUUGAGCUGUCAAUUUCAUUAAUUUUGAUUUUUUUCAAUAUUUCUGCUUUGUUGUUUAUUUGGUGGGGGAGGGAGAGGCAAGGAAUGGAGGAGUAAGAUGCUCCCAAGUUCUUAUUUUCUUUUGCUGAAGAAAGCCCUGAGAUAUGAAUUUUCACCUAAGGGCUGCUUUAGUUGUAUCCCAUAAGACUUGGUAUGCUGCCUUGCUGUGAUUUUCUUUGAUGACAUUUUCUAUUGUUUCUAUGAUUUGUUCUUUGAUCCACUAAUUCUUUAGAUUAAGUGAUUUAGUCUUCUUAAUUUUUAAUUCUUUAAAGGCUCCUUUUAAAAUGUGUGUCUUUCAACAAGUGAACUAUAAAAUAGGUGUUGCAAGGGGGAUGAAUUGGGUAAGACUAGAACAGACCAAGGUCUUUUCUUGAUUGAUUUUUCAUAGACGUGACUUGUGGCUUUCUAGAAAUUUAAUGAUUAAAAAGGGUCCUUUUGCCACUUGUGUGCCAUCAUAUUUAGUGAUUUGUAUAAGAAUCUCUUUUCCAAAAUCUUGUUUUAUGUUUCUGAUAACAAAAGUCUUUUACUAUCAUGAAGUAUGAUUUUGUAAUUAAAAUGUUGGUACUGUCUGUUUCCUCCAAAAUGUAAUAUAAAAGCACAUUUAAGACAAAAUAGAGGCAUACAUUUUAUACAGCAAGAAUAUGGUACCCAGUGAAAUUUUACAUGAUUUUUCAAUCCUUUAUCUAACAGUUACUGAAUAUCUACUAUAUAGGUAGAGUUAAGUGUGGCAAAAUGUGAGAGGUACAAAAUGAAUAAGAAAGAUAAAGUUCCUCUUCCCAAAGAGUUUAUAAUUUAACAGGCAACAGAAUGUGUGUCCAAACAAGUAGAAGGCAAAAUUUCAAAGUCCAGUAAAAAGUUUUAUGAUAAUUCAAGGAAUAAACAAAUUAUUUCUGGCAUGGGGUGGGGAGGAGAAAUUCUAGAGGAGGUGACAUUUGAACUAACAUUUGGAAGAUAGAAUUGGGGGAGGGUUAGAGUAUAUGGAGUAUAUGCGGACAUGAUAAAUAAUGAACAGAAGGCAUCAAAAUGAGAAAACAGAAAAAUUCUACAUACAGGCAACAUGAAUGGGGGGAAUAUAGUUGGGGAUGUCAUGGAUUAGAAAAUAAGUGAUUCAAGUUAUCUAGUGUGCC